rnacentral:tmRNA from 1 species
GGGGAUGAACGGCUUCGACGGGGCAGGCUGUUCCUUGACUGCAAGCCGUAGAGCGUCGGCUACGUUAAAAAGGCGCAACACAUAUAAAUGCCAAAUCAACAGGCAAGGUCUUCAACUUCGGUUUCGCCCAGGCCGCUCCGGCUGCCUUGGCUGCUUAAGUUAAGCAGACCAAUCCUGACCCUCUAAUGUAGGGUCACGGCCCGCUUCAGUGGCGCCUGCAGGCUG